rnacentral:rRNA from 1 species
UACGUAGGGGCAAGCGGUUGUCCGGAUUUAUUGGGCGUUAAAGAGCGUGUAGGCGGCUUGGUAGGUCCGCUGUGAAAACUCGAGGCUCAACCUCGAGAUGUCGGCGGAAACCACUUGGCUUAGAGUCCGGAAGAGGAGAGUGGAAUUCCUGGUGUAGCGGUGAAAUGACGCAGAUAUCAGGAGGAACACCGGUGGCGAAGGCGGGUCUCUGGGCCGAUAUUGACGCUGAGGAGCGAAAGCGUGGGGGAGCGAACAGG